rnacentral:rRNA from 1 species
CUCCAGGGGUAGCGGUGAAAAUGCUGUAAUCCCUGGGGGACCGCCAGUGGCUAAAGCGCCCGGCGAGGGCGGACCCGACGGUGAGGGACGAAGGCCAGGGGAGCCAAACCGGAUUAGAUACCCGGGUAGUCCUGGCUGUCAAGGAUGUGGGCUAGGUGUCGGAUGUCCUUCGAGGGUAUUCGGUGCCGUAGGAAAGCCGUUAAGCCCACCACCUGGGAAGUACUGCCGCAAGGCUGAAACUUAAAGAAAUUGGCGGGGGAGCACCACAAGGGGUGGAGCCUGCGGUUUAAUUGGAUUCAACGCCGGACAACUCACCGGGGGCGACGGCAGUGUGAAGGCCAAGUUGACGACUUUGCCGGAUUCGCCGAGAGGUGGUGCAUGGCCGCCGUCAGCUCGUAUCGUGAGACGUCCUGUCAAGUCAGGUAACGAGCGAGACCCUCACCCUUAGUUGCCAGCGGAUCCCGCAAGGGAUGCCGGGAACUCUAAGGGGACCGCUGUCGAUAAGACAGAGGAGGGAGAGGGCGACGGUAGGUCCGUAUGCCCCGAAUCCCCCGGGCAACACGCGGGCUACAAUGCGUAGGGCAGAGGGCUGCGAUCCCGAAAGGGAGAGCUAAUCCCUAAACCUGCGCUUAGUUCGGAUCGAGGGCUGCAACCCGCCCUCGUGAAGCUGGAAUCC